rnacentral:rRNA from 1 species
GCUGGCGGCGUGCUUAACACAUGCAAGUCGAACGAAGAGCGAUGGAAGCUUGCUUUCUAUCAAUCUUAGUGGCGAACGGGUGAGUAACGCGUAAUCAACCUGCCCUUCAGAGGGGGACAACAGUUGGAAACGACUGCUAAUACCGCAUACGAUCUAAACUCGGCAUCGAGGAUAGAUGAAAGGUGGCCUCUACAUGUAAGCUAUCACUGAAGGAGGGGAUUGCGUCUGAUUAGCUAGUUGGAGGGGUAACGGCCCACCAAGGCGAUGAUCAGUAGCCGGUCUGAGAGGAUGAACGGCCACAUUGGGACUGAGACACGGCCCAGAUCUCUACGGGAGGCAGCAGUGGGGAAUCUUCCGCAAUGGACGAAAGUCUGACGGAGCAACGCCGCGUGAGUGAUGACGGCUUCGGGUUGUAAAGCUCUGUUAAUCGGGACGAAAGGCCUUCUUGCGAAUAGUGAGAAGGAUUAGAC